UAGGGAAUCUUGCGCAAUGGGGGCAACCCUGACGCAGCAGUACCGCGUGAGUGAGGAAGGUCUUCGGAUUGUAAAGCUCUGUCGUAAGGGAAAAAUGGUUAGUGGUCUAAUAGGCCAUUAAUUUGAUGGUACCUUAGAAGGAAACACCGGCUAACUUCGUGCCAGCAGCCGCGGUAAUACGAAGGGUGUAAGCGUUGUUCGGAUUUAUUGGGCGUAAAGCGCGCGCAGGUGGAUUUUUAAGUCAGAUGUGAAAUCUCGGGGCUCAACUCCGAACGUGCGUCUGAAACUGGAGAUCUAGAAUAUUACAGGGGGUAGAGGAAUUUCACAUGUAGGGGUAAAAUCCGUAGAGAUGUGAAGGAACACCAGAGGCGAAGGCGUCUACCUGGGUAAACAUUGACACUGAGGCGCGAAAGCGUGGGGAGCAAACAGG
rnacentral:rRNA from 1 species